rnacentral:rRNA from 1 species
CAGUCGCCGCGGGAAUACGUAGGGUGCAAGCGUUAAUCGGAAUUACUGGGCGUAAAGCGUGCGCAGGCGGUUUGUUAAGACAGAUGUGAAAUCCCCGGGCUCAACCUGGGAACUGCAUUUGUGACUGGCAGGCUAGAGUAUGGCAGAGGGGGGUGGAAUUCCGCGUGUAGCAGUGAAAUGCGUAGAUAUGCGGAGGAACACCGAUGGCGAAGGCAGCCCCUGGGCCAAUACUGACGCUCAUGCACGAAAGCGUGGGGAGCAAACAGGAUUAGAUACCCGGGUAGUCCCUGUCUCUUAUACC